rnacentral:rRNA from 1 species
UGGGGAAUAUUUCACAAUGGGCGAAAGCCUGAUCAGCAACGCCGCGUGAAGGAUGAAGGUUUUCGGAUCGUAAACUUCUGUCCUUGGGGAAGAAACAAAUGACGGUACCCUUGGAGGAAGCCCCGGCUAACUACGUGCCAGCAGCCGCGGUAAUACGUAGGGGGCGAGCGUUAUCCGGAAUUAUUGGGCGUAAAGAGUGCGUAGGUGGCCUCUUAAGCGCAGGGUUUAAGGCAACGGCUUAACCGUUGUUCGCCCUGCGAACUGAGUGGCUUGAGUGCAGGAGAGGAAAGUGGAAUUCCUAGUGUAGCGGUGAAAUGCGUAGAUAUUAGGAGGAACACCAGUGGCGAAGGCGACUUUCUGGACUGAAACUGACACUGAGGCACGAAAGUGUGGGGAGCAAACAGGAUUAGAUACCCUGGUA